GAUGAACGCUGGCGGCGUGCCUAAUACAUGCAAGUCGAGCGAAUGGAUUAAGAGCUUGCUCUUAUGAAGUUAGCGGCGGACGGGUGAGUAACACGUGGGUAACCUGCCCAUAAGACUGGGAUAACUCCGGGAAACCGGGGCUAAUACCGGAUAACAUUUUGAACCGCAUGGUUCGAAAUUGAAAGGCGGCUUCGGCGGUCACUUAUGGAUGGACCCGCGUCGCAUUAGCUAGUUGGUGAGGUAACGGCUCACCAAGGCAACGAUGCGUAGCCGACCUGAGAGGGUGAUCGGCCACACUGGGACUGAGACACGGCCCAGACUCCUACGGGAGGCAGCAGUGGGGAAUAUUGCACAAUGGGCGCAAGCCUGAUGCAGCAACGCCGCGUGAGGGAUGACGGCCUUCGGGUUGUAAACCUCUUUUAGCAGGGAAGAAACACCGGCUCUAACACAGUCUGGGAAUGACGGUACCUGAAGAAUAAGCACCGGCUAACUACGUGCCAGCCGCCGCAGUAA
rnacentral:rRNA from 1 species